rnacentral:lncRNA from 1 species
AUCCUGAUUUGCACUCUAAAAUGCUGUUUGUAUUUAAACGAUCGUAUUUAAAUACAAAGAUUGCUCUUCUAUUUUUUUUUUUUUUUUGUGCCAAACACCCCCUUUAGGGUGUUUUUGUUUUUUUUUGUUUUCUUUUUCAGAGUUUUUUGUUUUAAAGGUUUUUUGCCAAUUUUAAGGUCUGUUUUUUUUUUUUUUUUUUUUUUUCUCGCCUGGGACCUUUGUCUGGAUGAGCUACUCUUAGUCUGGUCCCUCCCCACGACCUGUUUGCCUUGGGUGACCCUUCAGAGGCAUAAAGCCCCUGACAACAUAGCUCCUGGGAUCAUUGGGACACACAAACCCCUCCACCACGGUAAGGUGGUAGCUCGAGGAGGGGAAAAAAACCCUCCCAUGGGGGAGGGAAAAACCAUAAGGGUUUUUUUUUUGUUUUAAAGGUUCAAUCAUUUACUUGUUGAAGAACAAGUUUUUCCAAGAUUUUACUUAAAAAAUGGUAAGUUGGAUGGUUCCACAACCGGGGACCAUAAAAACUGAACGCCGCCUCCCCGUGGGUUUUUGUUUCUGACUUUGGGUAAGGUUAAAAGGCCUGUGCCGGAGGACCUCAGGGUCUGCGAGGGUUGAUUUGGUAAAAGUACAUCAGAUAAAAAAGAAGGGCCAAGUCCAUUAAUACAUCUAAAAACAAAUAAAAGAACCUUACAAUCAACCCUGAAACGGACCUGAAACGGAGUGGCGAUCAGUGAGAUAAGAGGUGAACCAGUUAAAAACAGUGCCUGAGAGGCCGACCAGGUGCUGAAGUCUAUUUAAUAAAAUGUCAUGGUCUGCUGCAUCAAAGGCGGCGGCGGUUAGAUCCAGCAGGACCAAGACUGUGAGGUUGCCAUUAUCAAAACUGCACCUGAUGUCAUUCAAAAUUUUUAAAAGGGCUGUCUCAGUACUGGGGUUCCCCCUAAAUCCUGAUUUGCACUCUAAAAUGCUGUUUGUAUUUAAACGAUCGUAUUUAAAUACAAAGAUUGCUCUUCUAUUUUUUUUUUUUGUGCCAAACACCCCCUUUAGGGUGUUUUUGUUUUUUUUGUUUUCUUUUUCAGAGUUUUUUGUUUUAAAGGUUUUUUGCCCAUUUUAAGGUCUGUUUUUUUUUUUGUUUUUUUUUUCUCGCCUGGCACCUUUGUCUGGAUGAGCUACUCUUAGUCUGUGUAACAGUCUGCUCUGCCCCUCUCCUGCUCUGCUGCUCAGCCACACCCCUCAUCAGCUAACUGCUUCCACCUGCUGCUCUCACCUGCUCAUCAUCUCCAAUCAGGCCAGUAUAUAUGCAGCUUCUUUCCCCUCACUCUUUGCCAGAUUGUCUUCGUCUCUCAUGCCUGACUCUCCCGCGCUUAUCCUCGGACUGCUUACCUGGUAUCGACCUGAUCUGCCCCUGACCUUUGCUUCUCGCCUCAGCCCCGGUAAACCUACCUGCCUUCUGUCCUUGACUACGAGCUUUGCCUGCCUGGUUCCUGCUAUUCAUCUGCCUGCAGCUGAAUGUCACUCAGCCUGUUCCUGCUCUGUUGAGAUCCCCCUUCUCGUCAGCUUCACCUCGCCAACUCACCUCCUCUGCCGACGUUGGUUCUGCCAGCUCCUCUGCAAGCUCUGGAUCCUCACCCAGUCCUCACCUAAACCACUCUCCAAGAAAUCUUCCCCCAGCUGUGAGUUGAGCGUUUUCCCCUUCACUACACUCGUAGAGCAAAUUAAGACUGUGGACAACUCCCUGCUCACGAGUUCAAAACUCUUGCCUGACCUGUGGUCCACUGCUAAUCUGCUCGCCUAUCACCCGGAAGACCCGAGUUCGAAUCCUGCCAUACCCACCUGCUAUACUCUGCUGCCUCAUUGGAUUUGGUGUUCAAUAAAGACUGUUGUUAAAGUGAACCUGCUUGUUUGUGCUGCAAUUGGGUCCAGUCAAUACCCGUUACAGUCUGGUCCCUCCCCCACGACCUGUUUGCCUUGGGUGACCCUUCAGAGGCAUAAAGCCCCUGACAACAUAGCUCCUGGGAUCAUUGGGACACACAAACCCCUCCACCACGGUAAGGUGGUAGCUCGAGGAGGGGAAAAAAACCCUCCCAUGGGGGAGGGAAAAACCAUAAGGGUUUUUUUUUUUGUUUUAAAGGUUCAAUCAUUUACUUGUUGAAGAACAAGUUUUUCCAAGAUUUUACUUAAAAAAUGGUAAGUUGGAUGGUUCCACAACCGGGGACCAUAAAAACUGAACGCCGCCUCCCCGUGGGUUUUUGUUUCUGACUUUGGGUAAGGUUAAAAGGCCUGUGCCGGAGGACCUCAGGGUCUGCGAGGGUUGAUUUGGUAAAAGUACAUCAGAUAAAAAAGAAGGGCCAAGUCCAUUAAUACAUCUAAAAACUAAUAAAAGAACCUUACAAUCAACCCUGAAACGGACCUGAAACGGAGUGGCGAUCAGUGAGAUAAGAGGUGAACCAGUUAAAAACAGUGCCUGAGAGGCCGACCAGGUGCUGAAGUCUAUUUAAUAAAAUGUCAUGGUCUGCUGCAUCAAAGGCGGCGGCGGUUAGAUCCAGCAGGACCAAGACUGUGAGGUUGCCAUUAUCAAAACUGCACCUGAUGUCAUUCAAAAUUUUUAAAAGGGCUGUCUCAGUACUGGGGUUCCCCCUAAAUCCUGAUUUGCACUCUAAAAUGCUGUUUGUAUUUAAACGAUCGUAUUUAAAUACAAAGAUUGCUCUUCUAUUUUUUUUUUUUUGUGCCAAACACCCCCUUUAGGGUGUUUUUGUUUUUUUUGUUUUCUUUUUCAGAGUUUUUUGUUUUAAAGGUUUUUUGCCCAUUUUAAGGUCUGUUUUUUUUUGUUUUUUUUUUCUCGCCUGGCACCUUUGUCUGGAUGAGCUACUCUUAGUCUGUGUAACAGUCUGCUCUGCCCCUCUCCUGCUCUGCUGCUCAGCCACACCCCUCAUCAGCUAACUGCUUCCACCUGCUGCUCUCACCUGCUCAUCAUCUCCAAUCAGGCCAGUAUAUAUGCAGCUUCUUUCCCCUCACUCUUUGCCAGAUUGUCUUCGCUCUCAUGCCUGACUCUCCAGCGCUUAUCCUCGGACUGCUUACCUGGUAUCGACCUGAUCUGCCCCUGACCUUUGCUUCUCGCCUCAGCCCCGGUAAACCUACCUGCCUUCUGUCCUUGACUACGAGCUUUGCCUGCCUGGUUCCUGCUAUUCGUCUGCCUGCAGCUGAAUGUCACUCAGCCUGUUCCUGCUCUGUUGAGAUCCCCCUUCUCGUCAGCUUCACCUCGCCAACUCACCUCCUCUGCCGACGAUGGUUCUGCCAGCUCCUCUGCAAGCUCUGGAUCCUCACCCAGUCCUCACCUGAACCACUCUCCAAGAAAUCUUCCCCCAGCUGUGAGUUGAGCGUUUUCCCCUUCACUACACUCGUAGAGCAAAUUAAGACUGUGGACAAUUCCCUGCUCACGAGUUCAAAACUCUUGCCUGACCUGUGGUCCACUGCUAAUCUGCUCGCCUAUCACCCGGAAGACCCGAGUUCGAAUCCUGCCAUACCCACCUGCUAUACUCUGCUGCCUCAUUGGAUUUGGUGUUCAAUAAAGACUGUUGUUAAAGUGAACCUGCUUGUUUGUGCUGCAAUUGGGUCCAGUCAAUACCCGUUACAGUCUGGUCCCUCCCCCACGACCUGUUUGCCUUGGGUGACCCUUCAGAGGCAUAAAGCCCCUGACAACAUAGCUCCUGGGAUCAUUGGGACACACAAACCCCUCCACCACGGUAAGGUGGUAGCUCGAGGAGGGGAAAAAAACCCUCCC